GGAAGCGUGGCAGAGUGGUCGAAUGCACCGCACUUGAAAUGCGGCAAGCCGCAAGGCUUCGGAGGUUCGAAUCCUCCCGCUUCCG
rnacentral:tRNA from 1 species